ensembl:lncRNA
GCCUGUAAGCUUAAGUCAUACAGAAUGGCCCAUCUCUGGGAACCCUGCCUCCCAGGUAAUGAGUGUUCAGUUAAAUACCUUUGUUUAGCUCCCAGGAAACACCCUAACCAGGCCCACCUGUGGGUGGGAGGAGGGGCUUAACCAUCCCUUCCAGGGGCCGAGGGGAAACAGGAAGUGGGACUGAUGGAAAACUGGACGUGCUCGACUUUGCUCCCACCCACUUAGAAAGAAGCCCGACUCUAACAGGCAAGGUGGUUCUUUGGGGCAUGAGUCCGUCCUCUCGGCCAGCUGGCUUUACCAAAUAAGCUCGUCCUCCCUUGCCCCACCACCUGGCCUCGCUUCACCCACCAGUCUGUGGUGUGGCGGGCAGUAGGAGCUUGGACUCAGCAACCCUGGGGGCUGUGAGAACAGAAGAGAUUGAUGACUUGGCGUCUCCUUUUGAGGAAAAGACACUUCAGGAAGAUGGUUGUCCCUGCCUCGACCAGCUCUCGGCUCAAGCUGACCUGGGAUGUGAGUGGGAGGAGCUGCUGAAAUCCUUGCCCAGCACCUGAGCACCGUCGGCAGGAAGGCCACGGCGAGCAGGUCUUAGUUGCUGCACACUGGAUCUUCGUCGCAUCAGGCAGGAUCUUUAGUCGCAGAGCUUCAACUCUGGUUCCAGCGCACAGGCCUAGCUGCUCCAAGGCAUGUGGAAUUAGUUCCCUGGCCAGGGAUCGAACCCCCUUCCCUGCAUUGCAAGGUGCAUUGGUAACCACUGGAUCACCAGGGAAGUCCCAAGAGAAAUUCUCUAAAUUCUCAUCACAAGAAAAAAAAAAGAUUGUAACUGUGGUGAUGGAUGUUAACUUAAUGUGAUCAUUCACCGUAUCAGGUUAUUGCAUUCUGUACCUGAAGGUUACAUGAUGUUAUAUCUCUGUCGUAUCGCAACAGAACUGGGGGAAGAAAGAAAUUUUAUUGGUCUUUUCCUUUUGGGUUAUUCUUCUUUGUGUUCUGCUGAAGAAAUCCUUACCUG